UACGUAGGUGGCAAGCGUUGUCCGGAUUUAUUGGGUUUAAAGGGUGCGUAGGCGGUCUUGUAAGUCAGUGGUGAAAUACGGCAGCUCAACUGUCGAGGUGCCAUUGAUACUGUAGGACUUGAGUACAGACGAGGUAGGCGGAAUGGACGGUGUAGCGGUGAAAUGCUUAGAUAUCGGGAGGAACACCUGUGGCGAAAGCGGCUCACUGGACCACAACUGACGCUGAGGCGCGAAAGCUAGGGGAGCAAACAGG
rnacentral:rRNA from 1 species